rnacentral:sRNA from 1 species
GCAACUGGUGUGGAUAGUCCAACACUCA